rnacentral:rRNA from 1 species
GACGAACGCUGGCGGCGCGCCUAACACAUGCCAGUCGAACGGAGCUGAGAGAAGCUUGCUUUUCUUAGCUUAGUGGCGAACGGGUGAGUAACGCGUGAGUAACCUGCCCUGGAGUGGGGGACAACAGUUGGAAACGACUGCUAAUACCGCAUAAGCCCACGAUCCGGCAUCGGAUUGAGGGAAAAGGAUUUAUUCGCUUCAGGAUGGACUCGCGUCCAAUUAGCUAGUUGGUGAGGUAACGGCCCACCAAGGCGACGAUUGGUAGCCGGACUGAGAGGUUGGACGGCCACAUUGGGACUGAGACACGGCCCAGACUCCUACGGGAGGCAGCAGUGGGGGAUAUUGCACAGUGGGGGAAACCCUGAUGCAGCGACGCCGCGUGGAGGAAGAAGGUUUUCGGAUUGUAAACUCCUGUCGUUAGGGACGAUAAUGACGGUACCUAACAAGAAAGCACCGGCUAACUACGUG